GGAGCAGGUGUGCAGGCCUUGGGUCAGAGGUGCCUUCUUAUCUCCACCUGACAACACUUCCCCACUCUGGCUCCACGAGAUCUGAAGUUUUGAAAUCAGUGUCUGAAUCAGUCAGGCGGCUGGUCAUGUCACAGGACAUCAGCGUUCAGAGAAAGCAGCAGUACCUUGGGCACAAUGUCACAUCCACGUCAGGACGAGAGGUGAGGAAUCACUAAACCCGAGCCCCGAAGCAAAGGCAUGAACGCUGCAUGGAAACUACCUGGAAUUGAAGUCAGUGAAGAAAAGACAAGACCGUGUUCUGCUUCAUGAAGAGUGAGGAAGAUGUUGCUGUGGCUGAGGUCGAAGAGGUUGCUGCCUGUGUUCUCCUCAAGGAUUUUGAUGGAUUCCUUUCCAAGGAGUGGGAUUUUGUGGCAUCACUAUAAGAGUUGGUCCACCAGGAGUGGGCAAGUCCCCUUCUGCUGCUGAGAAUUGUGUCUCUAGCGGUUGGAGUGUGUAUUACAAGCCUAGAGGUCAAUGCUGAGGUGGUUACAGUGGUGAGCAGGCUAUUGUUAUUGAUGAUUUUUAAGGGUGAAUUCCAUUGGAUGAUAUCUUAGAUCUUAUGGUCAGGGAUCCUCAUUAAGUGCCCAGAAAGGUGUUUUUUCUGAGUUUCAUAUUUGAUUUCUUUUUCUUACUUCUAAUAGUUCUCCUUGUACUUGAUGUUCCAAUGAGCAGUACAUUACAACAUUGCCUGCAUUUUACUCGUGUGUUAAUGAGGAUUUGAAAAAGGAAAAUGUUGUCAAUACUUCCAGAAAUUGUACACUGGAACAGCCAAAUAAUAAAACUUCAUUUUUGACACAAAAAGGAAAUACCCUGCUGUGAUUCUUAGUUUAAAGCAGGGGAGAAGGCCCUCUUUCGGUAUUGGUAAUGAGUACCAUAGGCCUUCCUAGGGAACAUUAUCAGAUUCUGUUGUAAACUUGGUCUUUGUUAUUGUGGAAGAAUCAGGAGUCAACCAAUUAUUUGUCUCCCGUUUCAUUUUCCAUGGACAUUUCCAUGAUAAUUUGGUUUCACACCUCUACCAUUAUGAGAUCAUCCUAACUUUAGCACCAGCUCACCCUUCUCUCCCAAGGGUAUGUUUUGGCCAAGACAAAAGCCACUUCUGGGUGACUGGGAGACUGCAAGACCAGAAUUUGGUCAGUAGGGAAUUACUGGGUUCCUAAAUUCCAAACCAGCUCCUGACACCCAGAUGAAAUACAUUGCAGAUUUAGAAAGGUCAGAUAGAAAUUUUUGUGUCCUUGGUAACAACUGAAGAAAAUGUGUCAUCCCUAAACCUAACAUUAACCCCUAACUUUAAUGCUGAAACCUAACCUAACCUUAAAGCCCAGACUGGAAGGAACCCUGAAUGCCAAACCUAAAAUUGAACCCGAAGCCUGGACUCUGAACCUGAGUCCUGGAUCCAAGCCCUGAACCAUGAACCUAAAUCCUAAACCAGAACUCUGAGUCAUGAACCCUGAACCCAAGUCCCAGCAUGAACCCAAACCCCAAAUUUGACCUUGAACUUUAUCCCAUAAGCCCUGAGUGUUAAGACCUAACUCAUAAACCUAAAGCCCUAAAGUGUAACUGUUCCUUUGCCCCUCGCUCUAACUCCUCACCCCGACCCUAAACCUUAACCCUGAUCUCAAACUCUGACUGAAACCUGAACCUGAAACUGAAUUCUAAUCCUUCACCACACUUUGUUUAUGCAUUCUCCAUUGAUGGAUAUUUGCAGUUUCUACCUUUUGAUUCUUGUGAACAUUGUUUGGUUUGGGGGCUAGGGUUAGGGUCUUGGGUUGGGGUCAGGGCCAGGCUUGAGAGCAAGUUGAGAUCAGAAUGUGGGUCUGCUUCAGGGCCAGUGUCAUCAUGUUCGAUGCUACUCUUUGGGUCAGGGGCUGUUGUAAUUCCAUAUUGUUUCCAAGUCAUUGUUCUUUAGCAAGUUUUGGAGAAGCUGGGGGAUAUUGGGCUUCAUGCAGCUUGAAUUUCCAGAACGAAAUGGCUUCAACUAGACCCUCUGAGGGAGCAGGUGCUUCCAUUGAAGGGUGAGCUCCCCUAGUCCUGCACUGCCCUACACUGCCUGUAGAGGGCGCCAUACCCCCAGCUCCCGCCCUGAGCCUGGCAUGUGCAGCCACCCCUGGGACAGGAGCCUGGCCUCCUCAAGACCCACUGUGGAGGCUUCUGGAGGAUGUGGGGCUGCUCCCACCCUGACAGGACCAGCCAUGGAGGAUGUGGGUUUAUAUCCACACAGACAGGACCCGCUGUGGAGGACGUGGAGCUGCAUCCACACUGACAGCAGUGCAGCCUCCUCAGGACCAGCUGCUGGAGGGGAAGGUGAGAAGAAACCACCUGAGCAGGGACUGGCGAGGAGGUGCGUGGUCUCAGGAUCCCACGGAAGGGUGUGCCAUGUAGAUACUAGACCUUCCAUGGUUUUGUGUGCGGUGACAUGGCCUCCCACGGUGCUGUGUGUGGGGCUGUAGGUCUCCCCUUUCUAGGCUUGGAUGUGCCCUGGGUCCCGUGUCUCUGUUUGUGUGCAUCCAGAUUUGGUUCCUGGGGUUCCUCAGACAUCUGCAGUCAGAGAACAACCGCCCACCUUGGGGUUCGUGCUUCCUCCACCUUGGCCCUGCAGGGUCCUUCCUGUGUCCACACCCGCUUCAGGGUUGGUCCAGAGUCUGGAAGUUCAGGAGUGACAGCAUGGACUCUGUAGACAGCUUUGGGGAGAGGAGGUAUAUUCCCAGUGUCGGUUCCUCCCUGAGAACAGAGUCUCCUGGACUCCGUGUGCCUCUCUCCAUGUCUGUCAUCAGUGUCUUACAGCUGUCAGAGGACAGGUCUGUCACCUCCUUGGUUCAAGGGACUCCUAGGAGUCUUGGUCUUUUGGAUGCAGUCGUAAAUGAGAUUGUUCUCCGUAGUCUCUUUCUGAUGGUUCCUUUGGAGCAUGUAGAAAUGCACGUGAUUAGUGUAUAUUGAUUUUGUUCCUUGCAAGUGUCUGGAAUUUAUGAGUUCUGUUUGCCUUGAACUCAAACUGGCAGUUAUUUGACCAGCCAGAUGGGUUUAUUUGGGAAGAGCAGAGAACGGCAGUCUGGGCUGAGCAAGC